CUUGAACAAGGGCUAUCAAAUGAGGCCUUCUCCCAGCAAGCUGUAUGAAAUUGGAGAUUCCACUUACCUUCUGCCUCUUAAAAUUAGACAAGCCCUCCACACAGCAAGAGAAUAAGUGGCAAGCAUGUGGACAGCUCUUUCUGAGCUGGAUGAUUUAGUGAAGCAGCUGUGGGGGACACAGGAGGGGAGAUUUGGAAGAAGGACGCAGUGGGCUGAGGGAGGACUAUUCACCCCCUAUUUGCAAUGCUGAGUUUCGCCCUGUUGUCCAGGCUGGAAUGCAAUGGCAAGAUCUCGGCUCACUGCAACUUCUGCUUCCCGGUUUCAAGCGAUUCUCCUGCCUCAGCCUCCUGAGUACCUGAAAUUACAGGCAUGCACCAUCACAUCAGGCUAAUUUUUUGUAUCUUUAGUAGAGGCAGGGUUUCACCAUGUUGGCCAGGCUGGUCUCAAACUCCUGACCUCGUGAUCCGCCCUCCUCAGCGUCCCAAAGUGCUGGAAUUACAGGCGGGAGUCACCACGCCUGGCCAAUCAUAACUUCUAAUUGCAUAAUGUAAAGCAAAUAUUUAACCUCUUCAAAUCUUGAUGCUCCCCUCUACAAAAUGGGCACACGGCUGCACAGGUAGAGUUGAGACCCUUGGUUUACACUUGAGCAACUAGUGAACAUUCAGGAGAUCAGAGCCUUCUGCUGCAUUUGUUAGUUUAGUCACUGUUAUCAUGAAGUUUCAUUAUCGUCAGUAAUACCCUUUCAGAAUGAUGCAUACCUAUUCCCAAAGUGUUUUUAGAUCUUUUAUUUUGUUGUUCAAGUCAGUUGCAGUAAAUGCCAGAGACUUGCAUAACAAAGAGCUCUCCUACAUCUUUCACUCAGGGCCAAAUCUGACAUCUCACAAGCUCUCACUGCAUCUCACAAGUUGCAACAACUGCAGAAUUCAUGUGUUUUCAUGUUUUUCACAAUGAGCACUAUGACCAUUAAUCUCACAAAUUGUGUCAGCUCUUAAACUCAAGAACACAUAGAGAUUUUCUCUUAUCUGUCACAAUACAUACAAAAACUGAAUCCUGAUUUUGGCCAUUCACAAAUAUCUCCCUUCUGGAUCCACAUUAUGAAUCAUUUCUUUUGUGACCGAUUGGUUCAUUUCUUCGCCCCUGACUGCUGGUUCCCAUGCAUAACUCACUCAUUCCUACCUCUGAGCUGUUUAACAGGCCAUCCAUCCACCUUUACCACUCAAAUUUAACAGUGUGCUGUAGUGCUUGAGGAUGGGCUCUAGAGCUUAACAGAACCAGAUUCCACUCCUGGCUGCAUCGUUGACUGGAUGGAAAUGUUGGACAAUGCACUUACCCUUUCUGAGCUUUAAUUUUCUCAUCUGUCAAAUGUAACUGGAUAAGAGUGACUUCAGACUUCACGUGACGCCGGUGCUGGGCGAACAGGGCGGCGGCCACUGGACCCUCGUUUUGGCUGGGGAAGGAAACCCUGAAGGUGCCACUGGCGCUCUUUGCCUUGAACCGGCAGCGCCGGUGUGAGCGGCUGCGGAAGAACCCUGCUGUGCAGGCCGGCUCAGUAGUGGUCCUGCAGGGCUAAGAGGAGACUCAGCGCUACUGCACCUACACCGGGGUCCUCUUCCGCCAGGAGUCCUUCUUUCACUGCGCAUUCGGUGUCACCGAGCCAGGCUGCUACGGCUUCAUCGACGCUGACACUGGGAAGUCGGCCCUGUUUGUGCCCAGGCUUCCUGCCAGCCAUGCCACCUGGAUGGGAAAGAUCCAUUCCAAGGAGCACUUCAAGGAGAAGUAUGCCGUGGACGACGUCCAGGACGCAGAUGAGAUUGCCAUUGUCCUGACGUCACAGAAGCCCUCUGUCCUCCUCACUUUGCGUGGCGUCAACACAGACAGCAGCAGCGUCUGCAGGGAGGCUUCCUUCGAGGGCAUCAGCAAGUUCAAAGUCAACAACACCAUUCUUCACCCAGAGAUCGUUUAGUG
rnacentral:lncRNA from 1 species